GGCAGUUCUCAGGUGACGCACCCCAGAAUCCUCUCUGGUUCCAGGUGCGUCACCUGAGAACAGCA
rfam:Myotis davidii contig69727, whole genome shotgun sequence.